UUUGGAUUGCUACUGACCGCUCUCGUGCUCGUCGCUGCGUUGAGGCUUGCGUUUAUGGUACGCUGGACUUUGUAGGAUACCCUCGCUUUCCUGCUCCUGUUGAGUUUAUUGCUGCCGUCAUUGCUUAUUAUGUUCAUCCCGUCAACAUUCAAACGGCCUGUCUCAUCAUGGAAGGCGCUGAAUUUACGGAAAACAUUAUUAAUGGCGUCGAGCGUCCGGUUAAAGCCGCUGAAUUGUUCGCGUUUACCUUGCGUGUACGCGCAGGAAACACUGACGUUCUUACUGACGCAGAAGAAAACGUGCGUCAAAAAUUACGUGCAGAAGGAGUGAUGUAAUGUCUAAAGGUAAAAAACGUUCUGGCGCUCGCCCUGGUCGUCCGCA
rnacentral:rRNA from 1 species